rnacentral:lncRNA from 1 species
CCCCAAGGGCCCUACAGACUCCCCCCAAGGACCCUAUAGAUGCCCCAGGGCCCCUCUGGACACCCCAGAGACCCUACGGACGCCCUGCAGAUGCCUCCCAAUCCCUGCAGAGACCCCAAAGACUCUAUGGGCACCUCACAGAUAGGCCACAACCCCCACAGACACCCCAGCCCCUAUAGACACCCUAUAGAAACCCUAUGGGGACCCCAAAUCCCUCCAGACAGCCCAGGGCCCCACAUAAAUGCCCCAAAUCCCUUCAGACACCCCAGGGCCCCACGGAGACUCCAUAAACUCCUCUCAACGGCUCUACGGUUGUCCCAGGUCCGCUAUAGGCAUCCCAAAUUCCUACAAACACCCCAGAAGCCCUAUGGAGAUUCCUAGGCCCCUAUAGACACCCUGUGACCCCUAUGGUCAUCCUAUGGGCACUGUGCAGUCUAUAGAUGCCCCCCAAGGCCCCUCAGCACACUAUGGAUAGCCUAGAACCCCUACAGACACCGUAGAGACGUUUCAGAGACCCUAUGGAGACCCCAAACCCCUCCCGCAGGCUCUAGGGAUGCCCCGAGGUACCUAUAAAUGCCCCAGGGCCCCUACAGACACCCCAAGGACACUACGGAGAUCCCCAACUCUUCCCACAGGCUCUAGGGAUGCCCUAGGGACCCUAUAAACACCCUAUAGAAGUUUCAGAGGCCCUAUGGAGACCCCAAACCCCUCCUGGAAACUCUCAAGACACACCCAAGGUCCCUAUAGACACCCCAGGACCCCUAUGGAGACCCCCAAACCCCUCCUGGAGGCUCUAGAAAUGUUUCCAGCCUCCUAUAGAUCCCUCCUGGAGCCCCUAUGAAGACCCCAAAUCACUUCUGAAAGCUCUCAGGAUGUCCCAGUGCCCCUACAGACACCUCAAGGCACCUAUGGAGACCCCCAACCUUUCCUGGAGGCUCUCAGGAUGACCCAGGGCCCCUAUGGAGACCCCAAAUCCCUCCUGCAGGCUCUCAGGAUGCCCCGAGGUCCCUAUGGAGACCCCAAACCCCUCCUGAAAGCUCUUAGGCCACUCCCAGGGCCCCUAGAGACACUCUAGGGCCCCUAGGGGCAUCCGAUGGGCACUGUGCAGAGUCUAUAGAUGCCCCCCAAGAUCCCUCAGCACAGUAUGGACAGUCCAGUGCCCUUACAGACACCGCGUAGAAGUUUCAGAAGCCCUAUGGAGACCCCAAACCCCUCCCACAGGCUCUCAGGACACCCCCAGGGCCCUAUAGACACCCGAGGGUCCCUAUGGAGGCCCCCAACCCCCUUCCUGAAGGCUCUCAGGACACCCCCAGGGCCCUAUAGACACCCCGGAAACCCUAUGGAGACCCCAAACCCCUCCCACAGGCUCUCAGGACACCCC